CGUGUGCUUACAAGUAGUCAGAGCCCGUUAAUGGGUGAUGGCGUGCCUUUUGUAGAAUGAACCGGCGAGUUACGAUUUGAUGCAAGGUUAAGCAGUAAAUGUGGAGCCGUAGCGAAAGCGAGUCUGAAUAGGGCGUUUAGUAUUUGGUCGUAGACCCGAAACCAGGUGAUCUACCCUUGGUCAGGUUGAAGUUCAGGUAACACUGAAUGGAGGACCGAACCGACUUACGUUGAAAAGUGAGCGGAUGAACUGAGGGUAGCGGAGAAAUUCCAAUCGAACCUGGAGAUAGCUGGUUCUCUCCGAAAUAGCUUUAGGGCUAGCCUCAAGUGAUGAUUAUUGGAGGUAGAGCACUGUUUGGACGAGGGGCCCCUCUCGGGUUACCGAAUUCAGACAAACUCCGAAUGCCAAUUAAUUUAACUUGGGAGUCAGAACAUGGGUGAUAAGGUCCGUGUUCGAAAGGGAAACAGCCCAGACCACCAGCUAAGGUCCCAAAAUAUAUGUUAAGUGGAAAAGGAUGUGGCGUUGCCCAGACAACUAGGAUGUUGGCUUAGAAGCAGCCAU
rnacentral:rRNA from 1 species